CCGGCCAAAGCAAGAACAAAGGAAGAAAAGAAAGAACAAGAACCCUAGGGUGAAAAUUCAAGAGAAACUUGCUGGAUUUCAAGUAAUCAAGCAAUCAAAGGUAAAAUUUCUUGAUUUUGACUUGUGAUCUACCUUUCCCAUACAUGCUUUUGCAUUUUCCAUGGUUGAAACACAAGAUAUCAUGAAGGAUAGUGUGCUGAUCAAACCCUAGGAGAGAGAAUUUGAUGAUGAUUUAGAUAGAUUUUUAAGAUAUAUGGAUAUUUUUAGUUGUUUAUGGUGUUAAGUGUAAGAAUUAAGCUUGAAAUUCACAUAUUCCUCAUGAGUUCAUCAUCAGCCGAAUCUUCCUUGUAAAGUGUUGAUGGUGGAUUUGAUUUUAUUUCAAGUGAAUUGGUUAGGAAAUGAUGAAUUAUGGUGAGAAAAUUAAGUAGGAAAAAUCAUAGUGUUGAUGCACUCACCAUGGCCGAAUUUUUCAAGAGAAAAUGUGAGGAUGAUUUUGCCAUAUUUCAAGUUAUUUAAUUUGUGUUUGAUGAUUUGGAGUAUUAGGGAGUAAAAUGGAAUUAUUUGGAGUUAAAUUGGACAUAUUGGCCAAUUAAUCAAGUUAUAGAUCGAAUUAGGCCAAUACCGUUUUAUUUAGGUACACAAUUGAAUUUGUGUAGAACACUGUGUUUAGAUGAUAAUCCGAACAAUUUGCUUUCCAUUUCAUACAUUAGUAUAGAGCCUGAAUUGGUUUUAUAACAAUUUAGCACAAAUGUAGUAAAUGGCUUAUUGUGCAUUAUGUCUAGUUGGUGAGCAUUCUGGUAAAAGUAAAUAGAUAGUAUCCGAGGAUCAAGAAUCACAGUACUCGAAAUUCGACUCUCGAAAUAGUGAGUAACCUUACUAUCGUCUUAAUUAUCUAUAAUGGUUUUUAUCUGAUUUUGUGAUUUUAUGGAAAAUGAGUUUAAAUGGUAAAUCUUUUAUGUUUUAUAAGCAAAAUGUGAUUAAAUGAAAAUGAUUUUAUAAAAUUAUCUUGAAAUUGAAAGAUGGUUUUGAAAAUGGAGUAAUUGGAGACUAAUUGUUGUGUUAUAAAUCAUGGUUUGAAUUGAAUGGCUUAUGAUAAUAUUUGCAUGAAUGGCUGAAUUGGUAUUUGUGUUGAAAAUGUAUGAACUGUUAAUUUGCCUUGAGAGAUUGUAAAAUAAAAUAAUUGUCAUGUCAUGCUAUUGAAUUUUAUUGAAUUGGUGGGUUAAAUAUUAGUCGCUGCAGUGGACGGGUUCCGUGGACCAGCCUAUUAGAGAGGCACGAUAACCCUAUUAUAUUCAUACCUCAGUAUGCGAGGCGCGGUUGGAUAACUCCUAAGGUUAAAACUUUAGAGUUCACUUCACGCCAAACCACCACGUGAGGAUGAACUCAGCUAACGCCAAGGAACGACUAUGUUUUCAAAAUAAAAACAUGAUUUAUGCAUACAUAACUUUUUAACAGCAUUGGCGGUCUCGAUUGGGAUAGCUCUCGGCCAAGGUAUCCCUGAUAACUGAGUAUGAGAAUGAUUUUGACACGAGCCAAAGUUUUAAGAAAUUCAUAUGUCAUGUUGAUUACUCGAUUUAUAUGAAUUGAUUUUAUUUGGUUGAAAUGAGUUGAAAGGUGAUGAAUUACAGUAUGUUAAACUAUUUUAUCUGUCUCCAUUUACUCAGCUUUAGAUAUUUUAAAUGGUAUUUGUUUACUCACUGGGAUUAUAUAAUCUCACCACCCUCCUUUCCACCCAUUUCAGGCUCAGGAUAGUCGGUAGAUAGCUUAUUUCGUUGAGGGCUACAGUUGGACUUGCAUCCUCAAAAACUGUAAGUUUACCUCUUUUGAUACUUUUGAUCGUUCAUGGGCUCACGUGUCACUGUAAAUUAAAUUUUAUACUUUGAUUUUCUGUAUUACAGUAUGUAUUAAUUUAUUUAGCUUUUAUGUUACAAAAAUCAUUUACCGGUAACUCUAUAAAUAUUGUUUUAUAAGAAAAUAGAAUAUUUUAUUGAAUAUUUUUAUUAUAUUCAAAUAGUCAUAAUUUUAUUUUAAAUGAAUGUUUUAGACAUCUAAACUUAUUUUUGAUUGUGAAAUAUGUGUUUUCCACUCGCAUACUACAUUUUUAGCUAGUUUCGAGAUUUUUGAAGAAAAAUGACCAAAAUACCCCUGUGAGAAAAAAAUUAUUUUUCUAUUGUUUUGAUUUGGAAAUAGUUUAUAAUCUGUCAAAACAUGAUACUUAACAACUGUUGCUCACAGGGGAGGUGCAAAAACUGAUAUUAAAGCCUUCCGAGGUUCCGGUUGACAUUCCGGGCGAUGAAUGUCUAUCAGGACGUCGCAGCGGUUGUCAGGGGCUCGAGGGGAGUAUCGAGUCGUGACAAAUUAUUUACGCAGAGUUCUAUAAAUAUUGUUUUAUAAGAAAAUAAAAUAUUUUAUGAAAUAUUUUUAUUUAAUUUGAAUAGCUAUAACUUCAUUUUAAAUUGAUGGAUUAGACAACGAAACUUAUUUUUAGAUAUGAAAUGGAUGCUUAUUACUUGUAUAUCAUAUUUUUACCAGGUUUCAAAAUUUUUGGGUAAAAUAACCAAAAUACCCCUGUGUAG
rnacentral:lncRNA from 1 species